AGUGGCAAAUUGUCCUGCUGGAUACCGGAGACAAACCAACCGCCAGCAGAGUCUCUGAAAAAUCCAAUUAGGUAUGACAAUGGGACUGGUCUUAACAUCCAGAUCUAGGAAUCAUCAGACGUCCUUUUCUGACACACACAGGCUGUUUACAUGUUGAAGAACAAGGCUCAGCUGAAAACUGCCCAGGAAACCACCCUCCCUCCCAACCUCCCUUCAACAGACUACGCAGGUUAUGGACUGGAUGGCACUGAGCCUGGAUCAGAGAGACAAGUCCAAAUCAACAUACAAAAUUUCAGAGCUACUGUGAUCCUGUCAGAUGUGGACAGUCAUGACAGGUCAGUGGUUGCCAAAACAAUUGUCUUAUGCAUGCUUCUGGAGUACUGAAUGCAGCAAAAUAUGAUUAUUUACAUCAGACCUUAUCUCUUGUUUUGGAUUUGCAACAAAAUGCUUGCAGCUCUGGACUGGCAUCUUGAGAAAAAAAGAUAUUAGGCCAGCUUUUCCUUUUCCACAGCCACUUUGGCACAAUAAGACCAACAAAUGGACCAACCUUUGUGGACCAACGAUUGGUUGUGUAGAUAUUUCUCUAGUGUUUAGGGCCUCAUUUGCCUAUAAGUGUAAGUUCUUCCCCCACCCACAUACCUUUCAGCUCCUACGCAUGAUCUGAGUUUCAGUGCCAUGUUCUUGGACAUCACAGGAUAAGAGCUAACUAAGCAUGUUACCUGUAUGCACAUUUUGUUCAUGUGAUUUUGUCAACUGGCAAUUUGUUUGUGAGUCCUGCUGGAAUUGUUGUAAUACCCAACUCUCAAAAAGAUGAGCAAAUGAAAAAAUAUAGAACUGCACUUCACAGAUGUUACAAAUUACUUAACAAUAAAAAGUGCGUAUCAGUCA
rnacentral:lncRNA from 1 species